AUGAACGCUGGCGGCGUGCCUAAUACAUGCCAGUCGAGCGCACAGACGAGGAGCUUGCUCCUCUGACGUUAGCGGCGGACGGGUGAGUAACACGUGGAUAACCUACCUAUAAGACUGGGAUAACUUCGGGAAACCGGAGCUAAUACCGGAUAACAUGUUGAACCGCAUGGUUCAACAGUGAAAGACGGUCUUGCUGUCGCUUAUAGAUGGAUGCGCCGCAUUAGCUAGUUGGUAAGGUAACGGCUUACCAAGGCAACGAUGCGUAGCCGACCUGAGAGGGUGAUCGGCCACACUGGAACUGAGACACGGUCCAGACUCCUACGGGAGGCAGCAGUAGGGAAUCUUCCGCAAUGGGCGAAAGCCUGACGGAGCAACGCCGCGUGAGUGAAGAAGGUCUUCGGAUCGUAAAACUCUGUUAUUAGGGAAGAACAAAUGUGUAAGUAACUAUGCACGUCUUGACGGUACCUAAUCAGAAAGCCACGGCUAACUACGUG
rnacentral:rRNA from 1 species